GCACCACGACGUGGAGCUCAUCUGGAGCCCAUCGGCGGAACGGCGGCCCGCAGAAGUAGCGUCGUCUGUUGCUUGAGCUGCCGCCACACGCUGUCUUGUCGCUAGGAGGAGCGUGUCGGUACUCCACAUGAGGUGACAGCUGAAGGAUCGAAAGAGGAAGGUUUUUGCGCUGGAAUUCAAAUGGACAUUUAUCAGGUUAGUAAUUGGGUUAUUAUUAUCAUUUACCACUGAUAUGUUUUUAUUUCUCAAGUUAGUUGAGCAUGUAUGAUGAGAAUUUUCUCCUUUUCUUCGUAGGUUCAGAAAAAUACGCCUUACAUGGCACACAGUUUACUAGAUUAGACAUAAACUGAAAUUAUUAUUACUUGUCCUCGGCUCAUAUUUUGGUUUUUCAAGUGUAUCCCAGUGAGUAACAUGGUCCCCUUCCCCAGAUACCUACCUCAAGAAUUUCUUUUAGAUUUCUUUCUGCCCAUUUCCAAUUCUAAAUGCAUUGUUUCAGGAUUGGAAGAGGAAGGUUUUUGCGCUGCAAUUUAAAUGGGCAUUGAUCAGCAUUUUAGUCCUGCAUCAACGAUGGCCUAGCCAUGCAGCCAGCAUUAGGACAGAGCCACAUCAACGGCGAUGAGAUCUCCGAUGUGUUUUGCUCUCGAUGGUCUGAUGCAACCUUUGGGAUUAGAAGAUUGUUGCCAUUGUAUGUAGGAGCACCAGCCUGAUCCAUUGGAAGGAGCAGCCGGCACCACCGCCAGGCGUUCAUCCUCACCUUGGCAAGGUUGUGGUGCCCUUGGUUACUCUAGGUGUUAUUCAGCCCAGAUUGUUAGCAUGGAUUUAUUUUCUAGGUGUUGAUUACUUGAUUGUGCUGACUACUCACUAUUUCACUUUUUACUUGAAUGAGUCAAGCGUUUUAAGUGGAAGAUUGGGGUGAAAUCUUGUUCUCCGAGUAAGCAAAGAUCCAUGAAAUUGUCCAAAGGUGUCCAGGAGCUGGCUCUAAGGGAAGUUCUGAUGAUCCUUCUCUCCGCCAAUGGAUAUAUUCUGUCUAAGGCAAGUUUUAAACUUCCAGAAAGACACUGCAGUGAUGAUUUGGCUGGAGUCUAUGGAGCCAAGUUUAAUCCUAUGUACAAAAUACAAGGAGGAAAGGUGAAUCAAGGUAAAUGAAGUCAAAAGCAUCAGCACCUCUAAAUUUGUUCCAGCUACAUUAUUCUGAUUCAUAAUAUUUAAGAUAUUUGAAUAUUCUGCUAAUGCACAGAAUACAUUCAGUAGUUGUGAGUUUCUUGCUCUUAUAAUGUGACAACAGGUUGUUUCAAUUUCCAAGAGUAUUUCUUAUGGUCCAGUUUUCUUG